rnacentral:rRNA from 1 species
UGGGGAAUAUUGCACAAUGGGCGAAAGCCUGAUGCAGCAACGCCGCGUGAGUGAUGAAGGUCUUCGGAUUGUAAAGCUCUGUCUUUUGGGACGAUAAUGACGGUACCAAAGGAGGAAGCCACGGCUAACUACGUGCCAGCAGCCGCGGUAAUACGUAGGUGGCGAGCGUUGUCCGGAUUUACUGGGCGUAAAGGGUGCGUAGGCGGAUGUUUAAGUGAGAUGUGAAAUACCCCGGGCUUAACUUGGGUGCUGCAUUUCAAACUGGAUAUCUAGAGUGCAGGAGAGGAGGAUGGAAUUCCUAGUGUAGCGGUGAAAUGCGUAGAGAUUAGGAAGAACACCAGUGGCGAAGGCGAUUCUCUGGACUGUAACUGACGCUGAGGCACGAAAGCGUGGGUAGCAAACAGGAUUAGAUACCCUGGUAGUCCACGCCGUAAACGAUGAGUACUAGGUGUAGGAGGUAUCGACCCCUUCUGUGCCGCAGUAAAACACAUUAAGUA